AGGGCACCACCAGGAGUGGAGCCUGCGGCUUAAUUUGAUUCAACACGGGAAAACUCACCCGGCCCGGACACCGUAAGGAUUGACAGAUUGAGAGCUCUUUCUUGAUUCGGUGGGUGGUGGUGCAUGGCCGUUCUUAGUUGGUGGAGCGAUUUGUCUGGUUAAUUCCGAUAACGAACGAGACUCUAGCCUGCUAAAUAGGCAGUGGAUUAUUCGUCCACUGUACUUCUUAGAGGGACAAGCAGCGUCUAGCUGCACGAGAUUGAGCAAUAACAGGUCUGUGAUGCCCUUAGAUGUUCGGGGCUGCACGCGCGCUACACUGAAGGAAUCAACAUGCUUCUCAACCUUGGCCGGAAGGUCUAGGUAACCCGUUGAAACUCCUUCGUGAUUGGGAUAGGGAAUUGCAAUUAUUUCCCUUGAACGAGGAAUUCCCAGUAAGUGCGGGUCAUCAGCUCGCGCUGAUUACGUCCCUGCCCUUUGUACACACCGCCCGUCGCUACUACCGAUUGGAGGUAGAGCAGA
rnacentral:rRNA from 1 species